rnacentral:rRNA from 1 species
UGCAAGUCGAACGAUGAAGGGGAGCUUGCUUCCUGGAUUAGUGGCGAACGGGUGAGUAACACGUGAGUAACCUGCCCUUGACUCUGGGAUAAGCGUUGGAAACGACGUCUAAUACCGGAUAUGACCUGUGACGGCAUCGUCUGCAGGUGGAAAGAAUUUUGGUCAAGGAUGGACUCGCGGCCUAUCAGGUAGUUGGUGAGGUAACGGCUCACCAAGCCGACGACGGGUAGCCGGCCUGAGAGGGUGACCGGCCACACUGGGACUGAGACACGGCCCAGACUCCUACGGGAGGCAGCAGUGGGGAAUAUUGCACAAUGGGCGAAAGCCUGAUGCAGCAACGCCGCGUGAGGGACGACGGCCUUCGGGUUGUAAACCUCUUUUAGUUGGGAAGAAGGGAGCUUGCUCUUGACGGUACCAGCAGAAAAAGCACCGGCUAACUACGUGCCAGCAGCCGCGGUAAUACGUAGGGUGCAAGCGUUGUCCGGAAUUAUUGGGCGUAAAGAGCUCGUAGGCGGUUUGUCGCGUCUGCUGUGAAAUCUGGGGGCUCAACCCCCAGCCUGCAGUGGGUACGGGCAGACUAGAGUGCGGUAGGGGAGAUUGGAAUUCCUGGUGUAGCGGUGGAAUGCGCAGAUAUCAGGAGGAACACCGAUGGCGAAGGCAGAUCUCUGGGCCGUUACUGACGCUGAGGAGCGAAAGCAUGGGGAGCGAACAGGAUUAGAUACCCUGGUAGUCCAUGCCGUAAACGUUGGGAACUAGAUGUAGGGGCCAUUCCACGGUUUCUGUGUCGCAGCUAACGCAUUAAGUUCCCCGCCUGGGGAGUACGGCCGCAAGGCUAAAACUCAAAGGAAUUGACGGGGGCCCGCACAAGCGGCGGAGCAUGCGGAUUAAUUCGAUGCAACGCGAAGAACCUUACCAAGGCUUGACAUAUACCGGAAACGUCCAGAGAUGGUCGCCCCGCAAGGUCGGUAUACAGGUGGUGCAUGGUUGUCGUCAGCUCGUGUCGUGAGAUGUUGGGGUUAAGUCCCGCAACGAGCGCAACCC